rnacentral:rRNA from 1 species
AUUGAACGCUGGCGGCAGGCUUAACACAUGCAAGUCGAGCGGAGCGGCGGACGGGUGAGUAAUGCCUAGGAAUCUGCCCGGUAGCGGGGGAUAACGUCCGGAAACGGGCGCUAAUACCGCAUACUAUCACAGUAGCCUAGGUCGGAUUGGCUAGUUGGUGGGGGAAAGGCCUACCACGGCGACGAUCCGGAACUGGUCUGAGAGGAUGAUCAGUAACACUGGAACUGAGACACGGUCCAGACUCCUACGGGAGGCAGCAGUGGGGAAUAUUGGACAAUGGGCGAAAGCCUGAGCCGGCCAUGCCGCGUGUGUUAAGAAGGUCUUCGGAUUGUAAAGCACUUUAAGUUGGGAGGCGUUACCAACAGAAUAAGCACCGGCUAACUUCGUGCCAGCAGCCGCGGUAAUAC